rnacentral:rRNA from 1 species
CAUGGGGGAACCCUGAUGCAGCAACGCCGCGUGAAGGAUGACGGUUUUCGGAUUGUAAACUUCUUUUCUUAGUGACGAAGACAGUGACGGUAGCUAAGGAAUAAGCAUCGGCUAACUACGUGCCAGCAGCCGCGGUAAUACGUAGGAUGCAAGCGUUAUCCGGAUUUACUGGGUGUAAAGGGAGCGCAGGCGGGACUGCAAGUUGGAUGUGAAAUACCGUGGCUUAACCACGGAACUGCAUCCAAAACUGUAGUUCUUGAGUGAAGUAGAGGCAAGCGGAAUUCCGAGUGUAGCGGUGAAAUGCGUAGAUAUUCGGAGGAACACCAGUGGCGAAGGCGGCUUGCUGGGCUUUAACUGACGCUGAGGCUCGAAAGUGUGGGGAGCAAACAGGAUUAGAUACCCUGGUAGUCCAAGGGCGAAUUC